rnacentral:rRNA from 1 species
CUACGGGUUGCAGCAGUGGGGAAUCUUAGACAAUGGGCGCAAGCCUGAUCUAGCCAUGCCGCGUGAGUGACGAAGGCCUUAGGGUCGUAAAGCUCUUUCGCUAGGGAAGAUAAUGACUGUACCUAGUAAAGAAACCCCGGCUAACUCCGUGCCAGCAGCCGCGGUAAUACGGAGGGGGUUAGCGUUGUUCGGAAUGACUGGGCGUAAUGCGCGCGUAGGCGGAUCAGAAAGUUGGGGGUGAAAUCCCAGGGCUCAACCCUGGAACUGCCCCCAAAACUCCUGGUCUUGAGUUCGAGAGAGGUGAGUGGAAUUCCGAGUGUAGAGGUGAAAUUCGUAGAUAUUCGGAGGAACACCAGUGGCGAAGGCGGCUCACUGGCUCGAUACUGACGCUGAGGUGCGAAAGCGUGGGGAGCAAACAGGAUUAGAUACCCUAGUAGUC